UUCUGUCAUAAAGAAGAUAGCAGUAUUUAGCUGACGGGGUAUUCUUGAAUGGCAGGUUGGAUAGAUAAUUCAUAAAGUAUAGAACACACAACAGAAAACACGCAUUGAAGGCUCUAAAUCUGCUGCAGCUAUGGCAGAACAUUUCAGUAUUAUCUGUUUGCAGAACAAGAGGGUGUUCAAUUGAGUAUAUUAAUCUAUUUGGCUACUAGCAUUUUGAAACUAAAUUGUGAUGUGACGCCUCCUGCUAAAAGUAUGUCUGCAAAAUGGUGUCAAUAUGGAAGUCUUCUCAAGGGUGAUUUAUAUGGACUAAUUUAUGAAGGCGCGGCUCUAGACUGGAUAGUUUCCUCAUGGUUGAGUGUGCAAAGAUUUUGCGAGUGCAAUACUGUGGUUUUUGUUGUAUCCAUACUUCUACCAGGGUCCUGUUUAGAAUCUUUCUACUGUGGAAAUUGUAAUGUUUCCAUUCGAACCCCGCAAAAUUUGUGUCUACAUACACCCUGAAUUGGCACUGUGAUGGCUCAGUCAUGACAAUACUGAAUGUAGAUAGAAUUAUACUUUCGAUGAGAUUGUACUAUUUCUUAUAUUUUACCUACUAGUAUAAAAAAUGCCCUAAUUUAAGCAGUAUAGGCAAUUCACUAUAUACAAGGUAUAGUUAGAUCUUGAUUUUUGAACUAUUAUGCAAUAAUGUGUUUUAAUCUGUUUGAUGAUGUGGUAUUCAAUUAGCUCAUUUUUUUAAACUCAAGUUUAGCUACAAAUAAUUAAUCAUAUACACUAUCCUUAGUUUAGUGGCCACAUGUAAUGCAGAGAUCUCAAUGGGCCUGAAACUAUUUGAAUAUUUGGUAGUCCAGAACCCUUGUUUAAUCAAGGAAUCUCAAUAAUCUAAGUGCCAAAUAUUCAUCUACAGUGCACCGAAUUUUUACUUGAGGGCACUAUUCCCUAUCAUGUAUCCAUGGUAUCAGCAUUUAAGCACAAUGCAGAAGGAUGUUCUUUCAGAACUUCAAAUGGAUAUCCUGAGCAUCACUGUAUUGUUACAGCUUGCAAAUCGGUGAAUAAAAGGAGUAACACAACUGAUUGUUAAGAGUACUUAACAGUCCAAGUUACAAAAGCAGAAUUCAUAAUCGACUGGCCGAGCCAGUCAGCAAAUGCAAGAACAAAGAAGCAGGCAAGCAGCAACCGCUUAUUAGAAAGACGAUUUUUGAAUUUUUGAUGCAUGCAAACUUUUUUUCUGGAACACAGAUGCAUGCAACUCAUUCAGUCAUAUCCAUACCUCGAGGAGGACUUGGAAGGACAGGAGCUGCUGGUCGCGUUCCUGGAGGAGGACGGCGAGGACGCGGCGCUCCCUCAUCUUGUGCAGGAUGCCGACGCUCACUGCGGCGGCGCCGAUCGCCAGCAGCACGAGCAGCAGGAUCUUGUGCUGCUUACUGCAGGAUGGGACAACUGCUCUGGCAGCAGUGUGAAGAAACUGGAGCUUCCUUUUUCCAGUUGCUUCGAUUCUGGAAAGGGGAGUGAACUUGCUUAGGAAUGGAGGAACAGACACUAGGAGGCUCCAAGUCUGAGGGCUAGUGUACAUUGUGUAUGGUUCACUUGCUCCAAGGUGAGGCACAUGGUUCAUUUCACUCUAGUUGACUUGUUUGAGCCUUUGAGGGGUAUAAAGCCUGGCUCUCUUUGACUUUUGCUGGUUAUCGUGAGACGUAGGCAAUAUUAACUACGAUGCUUGCAUUUGCUUCUUGAUCUCACAUUAAAGGUAUCUUUGAUCACAAGUUUAUUCGCAGACACAAGCACAGCUCUGCCAUGAAGUCUAACUCUGCAUUCCAUGGGUUUAUUUGGAUGCGUUCGGGAGCCAGGCAGCAAUCCGCACGAGGAUGCCAUGGCAGUUCUCGACUCCAAGACUGAAACUCGAAGCUGCAGCAUCGUGUCGCUGGGUCUAGAUUCUAGAACACCAACGCAGCCAAUUUGAGCAUUGUUCGUUCAGCUUGAACGACGACGAUGUUGUCUACCUCGUAGCCAAGGUUGGGCCACGGGACAAAAGGGCAUGUGUGCUCGCUGUUGACUUCAAAAACAAGAGGCCACAAUAUGUGGGCGCAUCACUCUGAAAAACUGUGCUACAUGGACAGUAAUAUAUCCAAGUUUUUUUUUGUUACAACACUAGGUAAUUACUAUUCCUAAGCAUAGCAGCGUGCAUGUAUCUAUCUCUGAUUGCAUUUACAAAUACUUUCUUGGCCUACAUUUUUGUAGAAAGGAAACUAGUAAAGUAAAAGGGUAUCUUGUUAUGUUGCUUCAUGGCCAAUGUUUAGAAAAAAAAAGGGCAAAUUGCAUAUUUGCCACUAUUUUGAACUCCAAACUGGAAUCUGCCAUUAAAGAAACGUAGACUUGCAAAAUUGCCACCCAACCGUCCAAGUAUCUUUUCCAUCUGCCACUGCUUCCCUUCAAC